CCUACGGGUGGCUGCAGUGGGGGAUAUUGCACAAUGGGGGAAACCCUGAUGCAGCGACGCCGCGUGAGUGAAGAAGUAUUUCGGUAUGUAAAGCUCUAUCAGCAGGGAAGUAAAUGACAGUACCUGACCAAGAAGCCCCGGCUAACUACGUGCCAGCAGCCGCGGUAAUACGUAGGGGGCCAGCGUUAUCCGGAUUUACCGGGUGUAAAGGGAGCGUAGACGGUUAUGUAAGUCUGGAGUGAAAGCUCGGGGCCCAACCCCGAGACUGCUUUGGAAACUGUGUAACUGGAGUACAGGAGGGGCAGGCGGAAUGCGUGGUGUAGCGGUGAAAUGCGUAGAUAUCAGGAAGAACACCGACGGCGAAGGCAGCCUGCUGGACUGAAACUGACGUUGAGGCACGAAAGCGUGGGGAGCAAACAGGAUUAGAUACCCGAGUAGUC
rnacentral:rRNA from 1 species